rnacentral:misc_RNA from 1 species
UACCUCCCCUCUUAUUCACUCUAUUAUAUCGCACUCCAUUAUACAAUUUGUCUCUAAAACUAUGGCAACUUUUGGGCUUUUGCCUCCUUGCUGUGCUUCCUUCUUGUCGUUCCUACCCGUCUUGUAUUGCCCUUCUCUUCUCCAUUAUUGUUUUUAGUUCUGUUAGUCCUUUUCCAGUCUCGUUUAGUAUUUUUUCUGUGUCCUUUGCUCCUCCCUUUAUUUCGCAUUCUUCUGUUACAUGUCUCAGGUCUUCUUCUUUCCUUUUACAUAGCCUGCAUCUGUUUUCUCCUUCUUCUUUCCAGUAUUCCCUUGCUUUGGUCUGGUUUCCACAUCUGAGUCUUGCUAAUAUUUUUCUGUCCUUCCACUCCAUCCUCCCUUCCAAGUAUUUUGGUAACUGUUCUUUG